UAUAUAGAUUUUCAUGUUGAUGCUCCGGUAUCGGCAUGAUGCUAUAUAAGCAGGUGAGACUUCUUAGAGGGACUGGCACAUUAUAUAAAGUGCACGAGGAAGAGCAAUAACAGGUCUGUGAUGCCCUAAGAUGUCCGGGGCCGCACGCGUGCUACAAUGACGAUGCUAAUGAGCAUGAUUUACCUGGUCCGAAAGGAUUGGGAAACCUGUUCAAUCAUCGUCGUGACUGGGAUUGGGGUUUGUAAUUAUCCCCCAUGAACGAGGAAUUCCUAGUAAGCACAAGUCAUAAGCUUGUGCUGAUUACGUCCCUGCCCUUUGUACACACCGCCCGUCGCUACUACCGAUUGAAUGGUUUAGCAAGGUUAUUGGAUUGACCUUAAGCGGUUCGCGCUGCUUUUGGAUGAGAAGAUGACCGAACUUGAUCAUUUAGAGGAAGUAAAAGUCGUAACAAGGUUUCCGUAGGUGAACCUGCGGAAGGAUCAUUA
rnacentral:rRNA from 1 species